GCCGGAGUAGCUCAGUCGGUAGAGCAGCGCAUUCGUAAUGCGAAGGUCGGGGGUUCGAUUCCUCUCUCCGGCA
rnacentral:tRNA from 1 species